rnacentral:rRNA from 1 species
CACCAGACUCCUACGGGAGGCAGCAGUGGGGAAUAUUGCACAAUGGGGGAAACCCUGAUGCAGCGACGCCGCGUGAGCGAUGAAGUAUUUCGGUAUGUAAAGCUCUAUCAGCAGGGAAGAAGAUGACGGUACCUGACUAAGAAGCCCCGGCUAACUACGUGCCAGCAGCCGCGGUAAUACGUAGGGGGCAAGCGUUAUCCGGAUUUACUGGGUGUAAAGGGAGCGUAGACGGCGAUGCAAGCCAGAUGUGAAAGCCCGGGGCUCAACCCCGGGACUGCAUUUGGAACUGUGUGGCUGGAGUGUCGGAGAGGCAGGCGGAAUUCCUAGUGUAGCGGUGAAAUGCGUAGAUAUUAGGAGGAACACCAGUGGCGAAGGCGGCCUGCUGGACGAUGACUGACGUUGAGGCUCGAAAGCGUGGGGAGCAAACAGGAUUAGAUACCCGAGUA